CUCCAAAGUUCCUGAAGCUCAGCCUACUCUGAACUCAGGAAGAGCUAAAAGUGGAAGAAUCAGGCAAAUUAUUGUUUAUGGGAAUUCUUUAAAGAUUUCAGCAGAAAGCAUGGUGGCUUGGUUUGAAAAACAUCUGUACAAAAGCAAAACAAAACAAGCAGCAACAAUAACGAUAGCAAACUGAGAUCUGGAUAAGGGAAGAAGCCAGCCACGUAACGAGGCAAGGGAAGAGCAUUUCAUUUAGCAGAAAGAGUGUCCCCCACAUCUCUCCUUUUGGAUGUGCCAGAGAAGCCUGCAACCCCACUGCUUCUAACAGCCUUCUUGUGACUAAGGU